rnacentral:rRNA from 1 species
AGAGUUUGAUCCUGGCUCAGAACGAACGCUGGCGGCGUGCUUAACACAUGCAAGUCGAACGCGAAAGUUUUCUUCGGAAGACGAGUAGAGUGGCGCACGGGUGAGUAACGCGUAAGUUAUCUACCUCGGCAUCUGGAAUAACUCACCGAAAGGUGUGCUAAUACCGGAUACGUUGAGUAAUCAAGAAAGGUGGCCUCUGAAUAUGCUACCGAUUAUGGAUGGACCCGCUUACAGAUGAGCUUGCGUACCAUUAGCUAGUUGGUGGGGUAAUGGCCUACCAAAGCGACGAUGGGUAGCCGGCCUGAGAGGGUGACCGGCCACACUGGAACUGAGAUACGGUCCAGACUCCUACGGGAGGCAGCAGUGGGGAAUCUUCCGCAAUGGGCGAAAGCCUGACGGAGCAACGCCGCGUGGAUGAUGAAGGCCUUCGGGUCGUAAAAUCCUGUCAGGUGGAAAGAAGUGCAUAGUGGCUAAUAUCCAUUAUGUUUGACGGUACCACCGAAGGAAGCACCGGCUAACUCCGUGCCAGCAGCCGCGGUAAUACGGAGGGUGCAAGCGUUGUUCGGAAUUAUUGGGCGUAAAGCGCGUGUAGGCGGUUUGUUAAGUCUGAUGUGAAAGCCCUGGGCUCAACCCAGGAAGUGCAUUGGAUACUGGCAGACUUGAAUACGGGAGAGGGUAGUGGAAUUCCUAGUGUAGGAGUGAAAUCCGUAGAUAUUAGGAGGAACACCGGUGGCGAAGGCGGCUACCUGGACCGAUAUUGACGCUGAGACGCGAAAGCGUGGGGAGCAAACAGGAUUAGAUACCCUGGUAGUCCACGCCGUAAACGAUGAGUACUAGGUGUUGCGGGUAUUGACCCCUGCAGUGCCGCAGCUAACGCAUUAAGUACUCCGCCUGGGAAGUACGGUCGCAAGACUAAAACUCAAAGGAAUUGACGGGGGCCCGCACAAGCGGUGGAGUAUGUGGUUUAAUUCGACGCAACGCGAAGAACCUUACCAAGGCUUGACAUCCCGUGACAGCCAUGGAAACAUGGUCUUGCAAGUUUACUUGCACACGGAGACAGGUGGUGCAUGGUUGUCGUCAGCUCGUGUCGUGAGAUGUUGGGUUAAGUCCCGCAACGAGCGCAACCCCUACUCAGUUGCCAUCAUUAAGUUGGGCACUCUAAGGAGACUGCCGGUGUCAAACCGGAGGAAGGUGGGGAUGACGUCAAGUCCUCAUGGCCCUUAUGUCCAGGGCUACACACGUGCUACAAUGGCCGGUACAAAGAGUUGCGAUACCGCGAGGUGGAGCCAAUCUCAUAAAGCCGGUCUCAGUUCGGAUUGGAGUCUGCAACUCGACUCCAUGAAGUUGGAAUCGCUAGUAAUCGCGGAUCAGAUUUCCGCGGUGAAUACGUUCCCGGGCCUUGUACACACCGCCCGUCACACCACGGGAGUUGGUUGUACCAGAAGCAGUUGAGCCAACC